AGUGAACGCUGGCGGUAGGCCUAACACAUGCAAGUCGAACGGCAGCACAGUAAGAGCUUGCUCUUACGGGUGGCGAGUGGCGGACGGGUGAGGAAUACAUCGGAAUCCACUUUUUCGUGGGGGAUAACGUAGGGCAACUUACGCUAAUACCGCAUACGACCUACGGGUUAAAGCAGGAGAUCUUCGGACCUUUCGCGAUUGAAUGAGCCGAUGUCGGAUUAGCUAGUUGGCGGGGUAAAGGCCCACCAAGGCGACGAACCGUAGCUGGUCUGAGAAGAUGAUCCGCCAAACUGGAACUGAGACAAGGUCCCGACUCCUACGGGAGGCAGCAGUGGGGAAUAUUGGCGAAUGGGGGGAAGCCUGAUCCAGCCAUACCGCGUGGGUGAAGAAGGCCUUCGGGUUGGUAAGCCCUUUUGUUGGGAAAGAAAAGCAGCAGGUUGAUACCCCGCUGGUCUGACGGUACCCAAAGAAUAAGCACCGGCUAACUUCGUU
rnacentral:rRNA from 1 species